UGCUUACACCACAUAUACUAAUGUGUCCGAGCUAUGGAAAUUGAUUUUUUAAGGUGCAACAAUGAGUUAUACCUCAGCGCGCUGGCAUGGUCAUGGAGUUGUUCGUAAGUUUAAGUUGAAUAUUGUCCAGAAUCUUGGUGGAUGACAUGGUUGUUGGCUCCUACAUGAUAGAGGUGUUGAUUCUGGAAGAACAAAAUAUAUUUUACCUUGAGAAACAAUUACUCAAAGCCUUUAAGACUAGAUGGUAGCAGUAUUAUUUUGACACCG
rnacentral:lncRNA from 1 species